UGGGGAAUAUUGGACAAUGGGCGCAAGCCUGAUCCAGCCAUGCCGCGUGAGUGAUGAAGGCCUUAGGGUUGUAAAGCUCUUUCGCCGGUGAAGAUAAUGACGGUAACCGGAGAAGAAGCCCCGGCUAACUUCGUGCCAGCAGCCGCGGUAAUACGAAGGGGGCUAGCGUUGCUCGGAAUCACUGGGCGUAAAGCGCACGUAGGCGGAUCGUUAAGUCAGGGGUGAAAUCCUGGAGCUCAACUCCAGAACUGCCCUUGAUACUGGCGAUCUCGAGUUCGAGAGAGGUUGGUGGAACUCCGAGUGUAGAGGUGAAAUUCGUAGAUAUUCGGAAGAACACCAGUGGCGAAGGCGGCCAACUGGCUCGAUACUGACGCUGAGGUGCGAAAGCGUGGGGAGCAAAACAGGAUUAGAUACCCUGGUAGUCCACGCCGUAAACGAUGGAUGCUAGCCGUUGGGGGGUUUACCUCUCAGUGGCGCAGCUAACGCCUUAAGCAUCCCGCCUGGGGAGUACGGUCGCAAGAUUAAAACUCAAA
rnacentral:rRNA from 1 species